GAUGAACGCUGGCGGCGUGCCUAAUACAUGCAAGUCGAGCGAACAGACGAGGAGCUUGCUCCUCUGACGUUAGCGGCGGACGGGUGAGUAACACGUGGAUAACCUACCUAUAAGACUGGGAUAACUUCGGGAAACCGGAGCUAAUACCGGAUAAUAUAUUGAACCGCAUGGUUCAAUAGUGAAAGACGGUUUUGCUGUCACUUAUAGAUGGAUCCGCGCCGCAUUAGAUAGUUGGUAAGGUAACGGCGUACCAAGGCAACGAUGCGUAGCCGACCUGAGAGGGUGAUCGGCCACACUAGAACUGAGACACGGUCCAGACUCCUACGGGAGGCAGCAGUAGGGAAUCUUCCGCAAUGGGCGAAAGCAUGACGGAGCAACGCCGCGUGAGUGAUGAAGGUCUUCGGAUCGUAAAAAUCUGUUAUUAGGGAAGAACAAAUGUGUAAGUAACUAUGCCCGUAUUGACGGUACCUAAUCAGAAAGCCACGGCUAACUACGUG
rnacentral:rRNA from 1 species